rnacentral:rRNA from 1 species
GAUGAACGCUAGCGACAGGCUUAACACAUGCAAGUCGAGGGGCAGCAUAGAAGUAGCAAUACUUUGGUGGCGACCGGCGCACGGGUGAGUAACGCGUAUGCAACCUACCUAUCAGAGGGGAAUAACCCGGCGAAAGUCGGACUAAUACCGCAUAAAACAGGGGCACCGCAUGGUGAUAUUUGUUAAAGAAAUUCGCUGAUAGAUGGGCAUGCGUUCAAUUAGGUAGUUGGUGAGGUAACGGCUCACCAAGCCGACGAUGGAUAGGGGAACUGAGAGGUUGGUCCCCCACACUGGUACUGAGACACGGACCAGACUCCUACGGGAGGCAGCAGUGAGGAAUAUUGGUCAAUGGGCGGGAGCCUGAACCAGCCAAGUCGCUUGAAGGAAGAAGGAUCUAUGGUUCGUAAACUUCUUUUGCAGGGGAAUAAAGUGCAGGACGUGUCCUGUUUUGUAUGUACCCUGAGAAUAAGGAUCGGCUAACUCCGUGCCAGCCGCCGCCGUAACAC